rnacentral:piRNA from 1 species
UUCUUCUGCUUAUGGUCUCUAUGUGUGCCU